GCUGCGCGCCGGACGGGGCCCAAGCGGGGGUCGGAGCCUCAAGGCUGCGGCGGCGACGAGCUCCGAGCGGGACACUGAACGGCCCGUAUGCGCAAGAUAAGCACGGACUGAAUCAGGUACACGCACCUGCCGGGGACGCACUGACCGAGGUGCGGACGGCGGUACCAGGACAGGUAAAGCCGCGAACACUCGGACCUAAGAACUUGACAGGUACACCCUGCCUGAUGAAGCUACGUACGGCCAGGUGCGCAUCGAGUGAAUCAGGGUGAGAACCUACUUCUUCAUAAAGAGAAUUUGGAGGGAGCUUUUUGUUCUGCGGGGACAACAUCUGGAUUUGAAUACAUCCAUGCUCAAAAGGAGAUUUCUCAUAAUGGACCCAACUGAAAGCACUCAGAGUACAAGGACCGGUGAGCUUUCAAAAGGAGACACUUCGGGAGACUCGCCAGGGGCCCUCGUAUCCCCGGCAGCGCGAGUUUUGGAGGUCAGUGGAGGGCUCUCGCAUCAUGCAUGUAACUUUCAUACUCAAAAACUUACCUUCAUCCUGCAUCCCUCACCCCCCUGCAGAAACUUGGGGCUUGAAUUCAUUUAAAAACAUUUGCGGUUUCAGAAGCCUUCUUUUUAUUAUGAAGCUGCCAAGGAGAUCUUAGAAUGAAAGGCAUUUUUAGAGAUGAGAAAGAAGGAAGCCAGGCCAAGGCUGGGCCGGCUCUCAGCCGUGGGUCUGUAAAGGUGACACGUGGGACAUGGCCACCUGCAGACCCUGCAGGCGGCUGGGCAGAGGCACCCACAGGGACCUGGGUUUGAAUCCCUGCUCUGCCAGUCAUUUCCACAGCGAUCUUGGGGGAAGUUGUGUAACCUCUGGGCCCUGCGACGCCCUUUCCUGGAGCCUGGAGCUGGAACGAAGCCCCUUGGAGCCCUGACAUCAGAGGUGACGUUAGUCUUCGCAGGCAAUGACUCGGCGGAAUGUGAUGCCACUCCCUAACCCGUGUCCGGACUGGCAGAGUGUGUGCCGCCUCCCACCAGGUGGUCUGGCUGCUUUGAUGGAUCUCCUAACUUCUCUGCACCCCAGAGCCCUCAGUGCUGGCCAGACCUUCACUCACUCCUGGGUGACAACCCCGUUCUCAGAUAGUGGGUCCCACAGGCUGGCCUGUGGCGCCCCCUGCUGGUGACUGCAGGGAGAAGGAUGCCCUAAGCCAAAGGAAGUCCUUCCUGGGGUCUAAUCUCUACCUUUUGCAUGAUGAGGCAGCUGAGGUGGCUCGCUUUCUCCUCCACCCCAGAAAAUAAAGUCAUAUGGAGUCCA
rnacentral:lncRNA from 1 species